rnacentral:misc_RNA from 1 species
GUGAGUCAUCGAAUCUUUGAACGCACCUUGCACCCUUUGGUAUUCCGAAGGGUACACCCGUUUGAGUGUCAUUGUAAUCUCACUCCAACACCUUUACUGAUGUUGGAUGUGGACUUGGAUGUUGUCGUGUUCAACGACUCGUCUUAAAUGCCUGAGUGUACCCUGCUUUGCAGCGUAUCAGUGUGAUAAACAUCUUCACUGUUAAGUCUUUCGGGACACGCUUGUGUUGUAGGCUCUAUGCUUUCCAACCGUCCUCUGGACAAUCUCUGACAAUUUGACCUCAAAUCGGGUGGGACUACC